AUUGAACGCUGGCGGCAUGCCUAACACAUGCAAGUCGAACGGCAGCAUGAGUAGAGCUUGCUCUACUUGAUGGCGAGUGGCGGACGGGUGAGUAAUAUGUAGGAAUCUACCUAGAGGUGCGGGAUAACUUAGGGAAACUUAAGCUAAUACCACAUAAGCCCUACGGGGGAAAGCAGGGGAUCGUAAGACCUUGCGCCUUAUGAUGAGCCUACAUCGGAUUAGCUUGUUGGUGGGGUAAAGGCCUACCAAGGCGACGAUCCGUAGCUGGUCUGAGAGGAUGAUCAGCCACACUGGGACUGAGACACGGCCCAGACUCCUACGGGAGGCAGCAGUGGGGAAUAUUGGACAAUGGGCGCAAGCCUGAUCCAGCAAUGCCGCGUGUGUGAAGAAGGCCUUCGGGUUGUAAAGCACUUUUGGCAGGGAGGAAGGUGUGGAGUUUAAGAGACACUACAUUUGACUGUACCUGCAGAAUAAGCACCGGCUAACUCUGUGCCAGCCGCCGCCGUAA
rnacentral:rRNA from 1 species